rnacentral:rRNA from 1 species
AACGAACGCUGGCGGCAUGCCUAACACAUGCAAGUCGAACGAGACCUUCGGGUCUAGUGGCGCACGGGUGCGUAACGCGUGGGAAUCUGCCCUUCGGUUGGGAAUAACUGAGAGGAAUUUCAGCUAAUACCUUAUAAUGUCUUCGGACCAAAGAUUUAUCGCCGAGGGAUGAGCCCGCGUAGGAUUAGGUAGUUGGUGGGGUAAUGGCCUACCAAGCCGACGAUCCUUAGCUGGUCUGAGAGGAUGAUCAGCCACACUGGGACUGAGACACGGCCCAGACUCCUACGGGAGGCAGCAGUGGGGAAUAUUGGACAAUGGGCGAAAGCCUGAUCCAGCAAUGCCGCGUGAGUGAUGAAGGCCUUAGGGUUGUAAAGCUCUUUUACCCGGGAUGAUAAUGACAGUACCGGGAGAAUAAGCGCCGGCUAACUCCGUG